CUCUUAUCUCACGUGGAAGUCUGGUAACCCGUGAGGUUUAACCGAGGCGCGAUUAUUGCUAAUUGAAAACUUUUCCCAAUACCCUGUCAUGAUGACUUGAAAUAUAGUCAGUUUUGACAUUUUUUUUACAGUCUCUCAGGAGG